rnacentral:rRNA from 1 species
ACGGGAGGCAGCAGUGGGGAAUAUUGCACAAUGGGCGCAAGCCUGAUGCAGCGAUGCCGCGUGAGGGAAGAAGGUUUUCGGAUUGUAAACCUCUGUCAACAGGGACGAAAAUGACGGUACCUGUGAAGGAAGCUCCGGCUAACUACGUGCCAGCAGCCGCGGUAAUACGUAGGGGGCGAGCGUUGUCCGGAAUGAUUGGGCGUAAAGGGCGCGUAGGCGGCCUGGUAAGUCUGAAGUGAAAGUCCUGGCUUCAAGUUGGGAAUUGCUUUAGAUACUGUCAGGCUUGAGUGCAGGAGAGGUUAGUGGAAUUCCCAGUGUAGCGGUGAAAUGCGUAGAGAUUGGGAGGAACACCAGUGGCGAAGGCGACUAACUGGACUGUAACUGACGCUGAGGCGCGAAAGUGUGGGGAGCAAACAGGAUUAGAUACCCUGGUA